GACGAACGCUGGCGGCGUGCCUAACACAUGCAAGUCGAACGGGGCAUCGAGAGCUUGCUUUUGAUGCUUAGUGGCGAACGGGUGAGUAACGCGUGAGAAACCUGCCUCUCAGUGGGGGACAACAGUUGGAAACGACUGCUAAUACCGCAUAAUGUAUUCGGAGGGCAUCCUUUGGAUACCAAAGCUUUAUGUGCUGAGAGAUGGUCUCGCGUCUGAUUAGCUAGAUGGCGGGGUAACGGCCCACCAUGGCGACGAUCAGUAGCCGGUCUGAGAGGAUGAACGGCCACAUUGGAACUGAGAAACGGUCCAGACUCCUACGGGAGGCAGCAGUGGGGAAUAUUGGGCAAUGGGCGAAAGCCUGACCCAGCGACGCCGCGUGAAGGAAGAAGGUCUUCGGAUUGUAAACUUUUGUCAACAGGGAAGAAGAAGUGACGGUACCUGUUAAGAAAGCCACGGCUAACUACGUG
rnacentral:rRNA from 1 species